rnacentral:lncRNA from 1 species
AUUUAUUUCACACUCCGGACCACUUAUUUUCGCUGCGCGAUCGCGUCGAGGCAAACGUCAGCUGUUAGCAACGUUGUUAGCUUUGUGAGCACCAGAAUCGCACAUUCAAUUUGUUUGUGGGGAUAUGGGUGAUGUUAAGAGUUAGUUUUUGGAUUAGAAAGAGCCUUAACAUUUUAAGCACUAACAAUAAUAAUAUCCAACAAAACUUUAUUUUAGUUAUUUUGAUAAUAGUAGUGUUUCAGCUUUGUACUUCCCCUCAUUAAACAUACCUGUACUUUGCUUGAUUGUUUGCAUGGAAACAAGAAGAUGAGGGAAUAAAGAGACCACGUGCAUCAUCUCUACACACCCAGCACCCAGGAAUGUAAGUUAAUUGUAUCAUUCCUUAUACUUAGUAAACGUUACCACUUCUGUAUAGUAUUUUUUGUGACUCUAUGUUUGGAUUUACUAUAGAUAAUUUUCUUUUUUCCAUCUUCAUUUUCAGGUCUGAUUUCUCUGUUCUGCAACCAGCGUUAUGCAUGCCCCUCUGAACUCAAAAAGAUCCUGGCUUCUGCAUCCAGCCCCAUUUGGUCCACAACUCUACCCCAGGCCCGCUCUCUCCCUCAGCCAAGUGGAGUCCCUACAAAACGUGGUGCACAACUGGAGACAGGACAACGAUUUCACCUGAUACCACGUGACGACGAGCUGAAGCACACGCAUUUUAAAAGUGAGUUUUUUAUUAGAGUAGCCUCU